UAUGAAGUGAGGUGCGUGGUUUUAUUGUAUGUGUACUUUGUUUCCUGCGUUUUUGAGUAAGAUCAUAUCCGGCAGAUAUCAAUAAUGAUUUUGAAAGCACGUUCUGGUAUACUUCACACAACCAGGUGGCCGAUACAUAAACAAGGACGCCACUACCAUGUAUCUCUUCAACAAACUGAGCUUCAGUUAUUGGCACAGGAAUCUAAAUAAAGAAACGGCAACAUAAAAGAGUUUUUAGGUGUUAAAUCUAGACUAUUUGGUGGUCAUGGAAUGGGCGACCCAAUACGAAUUCAAAAAUUGGUUACUCAAAUGUUUUAGCAGACAACUGUUGCCCCAUAAACUAUGGUUUUUCACAACCUCAUAUAUUCAAUUUUUUCUUAUAAUUGCCAUAUCAUCACCAGCAUGUCGGUGUAUUGGUCCACUGAGCAACAAUAAAUCCGCUAAUCGUCCUGGCGAUCGAAGUAAUUCUUUAGCAGCCCUUAAUGGUUCUAAUCUUUUUGGAGGACUCGGAAGGAGAAGCAUUCUGUGAAAUAACGCCUCUAAAACGGGUCUUAGUGCUCGUUCUCGUCCGACUAGUCUGACUACUUGAAUUCCGGUGCUAGAAAAAUAUUAGUUAGUGAAGUAACCAAAUAAAACUGUGAAUGAUCUAUGAAUUAUUAAAAUAUAAAGUUUAACAAAAUUACUUCAAAUACAUAAUACAGUAGAGAAAUC